UCGAGGAUCUUCGGCAAUGGGGGCAACCCUGACCGAGCGAUGCCGCGUGCGCGAUGAAGGCCUUCGGGUUGUAAAUCGCUUUAGUGGGGGAGAAAAGCCGCAAGGUGUGAUCUAUCCCAAAAAUAAGCUCGGGCUAAGUUCGUGCCAGCAGCCGCGGUAAGACGAACCGAGCGAACGUUGUUCGGAAUCACUGUGCUUAAAGGGCGCGUAGGCGGGCUAUCAAGUCUGGGGUGAAAUCCCACGGCUCAACCGUGGAACUGCCUCAGAUACUGACGGCCUCGAGGGAGGUAGGGGAGUGCGGAACUGUAGGUGGAGCGGUGAAAUGCGUUGAUAUCUACAGGAACUCCGGGGGCGAGAGCGGCGUGCUGGACCUCUUCUGACGCUGAGGCGCGAAAGCUAGGGGAGCAAACG
rnacentral:rRNA from 1 species